UGGGUUGGUGGGACCUCCAGCGU
rnacentral:miRNA from 8 species